rnacentral:rRNA from 1 species
AGCACUUUAUACUGUGAAACUGCGAAUGGCUCAUUAAAUCAGUUAUCGUUUAUUUGAUAGUACCUUACUACAUGGAUACCUGUGGUAAUUCUAGAGCUAAUACAUGCUAAAAACCUCGACUUCGGAAGGGGUGUAUUUAUUAGAUAAAAAACCAAUGCCCUUCGGGGCUCCUUGGUGAUUCAUAAUAACUUAACGAAUCGCAUGGCCUUGCGCCGGCGAUGGUUCAUUCAAAUUUCUGCCCUAUCAACUUUCGAUGGUAGGAUAGUGGCCUACCAUGGUGGCAACGGGUAACGGGGAAUUAGGGUUCGAUUCCGGAGAGGGAGCCUGAGAAACGGCUACCACAUCCAAGGAAGGCAGCAGGCGCGCAAAUUACCCAAUCCCGACACGGGGAGGUAGUGACAAUAAAUACUGAUACGGGGCUCUUUUGGGUCUCGUAAUUGGAAUGAGUACAAUCUAAAUCCCUUAACGAGGAACAAUUGGAGGGCAAGUCUGGUGCCAGCAGCCGCGGUAAUUCCAGCUCCAAUAGCGUAUAUUAAAGUUGUUGCAGUUAAAAAGCUCGUAGUUGAACCUUGGGUCUGGCUGGCCGGUCCGCCUCACCGCGAGUACUGGUCCGGCUGGACCUUUCCUUCUGGGGAACCUCAUGGCCUUCACUGGCUGUGGGGGGAACCAGGACUUUUACUGUGAAAAAAUUAGAGUGUUCAAAGCAGCCUUUGCUCGAAAUACAUUAGCAUGGCAAUAAUAGAAUAGGACGUGCGGUUCUAUUUUGUUGGUUUCUAAG